rnacentral:rRNA from 1 species
UAGGGAAUCUUCGGCAAUGGGGGGAACCCUGACCGAGCAACGCCGCGUGAGUGAAGAAGGUUUUCGGAUCGUAAAGCUCUGUUGUUAAGGAAGAACGAGUGUGAGAAUGGAAAGUUCAUGCUGUGACGGUACUUAACCAGAAAGGGACGGCUAACUACGUGCCAGCAGCCGCGGUAAUACGUAGGUCCCGAGCGUUGUCCGGAUUUAUUGGGCGUAAAGCGAGCGCAGGCGGUUAGAAAAGUCUGAAGUGAAAGGCAGUGGCUCAACCAUUGUAGGCUUUGGAAACUGUUUAACUUGAGUGCAGAAGGGGAGAGUGGAAUUCCAUGUGUAGCGGUCAAAUGCGUAGAUAUAUGGAGGAACACCGGUGGCGAAGGCGACUCUCUGGUCUGUAACUGACGCUGAGGCUCGAAAGCGUGGGUAGCAAACAGG